AACUACCUGCCCUCCAGGACACCUACAUCAGCCGAUGUCACAGGAAGGCCAAAAAGAUCCUCAAGGACAACAACCACCCGAGCCACUGCCUGUUCACCCCGCUAUCAUCCAGAAGGUUCAGCCGAGGUCCUCCGAUGUCCCUUCCGCCCCAUGGGAGUGCCCAUCUCGGGAGGGAGGAAACUGAGUGUUUAUAACACAGAUCAACUGCAACUGCACGGAUGACCAGGACUUCUGUAUUUAUGCGUUUGUUCUUCCGAAAGCCCUCGACACAAACACAAACAAUGGUCCUGUUGUCGAAAUGCGCCCAAGGAAAAGGACAUGCCUAACUCCUGUUGUACUUCAUCCCUAUUGAUAUUAUUACACUUGUGAAAGAGAAGGGCCUUGACACAGCAGAGAGUUUACAAUAAUAUAAAUAUAUACAUCUAAAUGAGUUUAUUAUUCAUUGAUAUAAUUAAGACAAUUUACGGUUGUUAAAGAGAGAUAUCAAUGAUCGGCUGCCUCAGAUCACCCUCUUAGUCCACUCCAAAGUCCAACGUUACACUCAGAUGGCUAAGUGUAGCUUCCCCUGAGUUUGAGCAUUAGUCUGGGGAAAAUCCAUCGUCAGUGUCCCCUGAUUUGACCGUGGUACCUUAUGGAAAGUAAUGUAUACCGGUUGAUCCUCCGUUCACAGAGAACACAGAUACACGGUCAGCUCUUCUGCGUUUCUGUGUUAGUUGGAGAGUCCAUGGAUUGCCUAUGGAUGAGAGACUUGGAUGAAUAAUGGACAAAAUUAUGGCUGUCAAACAUUCUGAUGCGAUUGACAAAAGAAGAGAAUGGAAUGAUGAAAAUAGUUCUCACUCUAUGCUGGUUGUCAUAGGUCUCAAUCAGGUCCUCUUCAUCAGUGAAAGGCGGUGGCUCCUUGCAGUCCUGCAUUAGAGAAAGCUGGGCACAGGCAAAGACAAGAUAGCAAGGUUAAUACAGUCUUUAGUCAGUUGUUUGAGCAUCAAUUAAAAUCAGAGAAUAAACCACAGAUUUCCGGGUCCCUCACCCCCUCAACCAUGGCAUCCUGCAUGCUCCCAUUGGCUGUCUCCAGUUUGAUGAAGAGGAUGGCAUCGUGGACAGAGAGAAAGAGGAGAUCUCGUAUGACCUCCUCGUCGAAGAAGGCCAAGGCUUCCAUUUUCCAUACAAUUUCAUCUGGAGUGUUAGAUGCCAGUUAGAGAGACCAAUAACAACAGCAAAGAACCCAAUGCAGAAGGCAGGGGCUGUCCAGUGCUGAAACAGACUGGCACAGACACCACCAGUUAUCAGAAUGUGAACCUCCAAGCAGGCCAACAAAACACAACCAUUAUUAUGACAUGGACAAUUUGAUAGUACAAUCUGCUUUUAGUUCAUUCUAAUCCACUUGGCAGCAUUGAACAAACAUUUUACAGCAGAAUUCUUUGUAAGAAAGUAAUAGCACUGUCCCGAUAACACUGCUUACUAUGCUCAAGACAUUAAAUAGGGACAUAUACUGUAUUUUUUCAUCCCAAACCGUACCGUCACAGCCUGCGAUGUAGACAUUGACUCCAAUGCGUAGGAACUCUUUAAUGACCUGUAGAGGACAGAGGGGGAUAGAUUAGUGUGACACCAUGUCAUUUAUCUCACAGGGUUAAGCUCUGAUAUCACUAAACACACAAACCCUCUAAACACACAAGCACAUUCCUGCGCCCUGAGAUUGCUACAGUAAACAAAACAGCCACAGGGCAUUAUUUAAAGUAGUAUUCUGAGGUUGUUGAACCAGGGAGGACCACCCUCCUCAGUGAAUUUCAUAAAAAUGUUUGCAUUUUUACAUAAAACUAUACUAAAUAUAUUCACGUCACCAAAUAAUUGAUUAAAACACACUGUUUUGCAAUGAAGGUCUACAGUAGCAUCCACAGCCCUCUGUAGGGUAGCACCACGGCGUAGCCUGAAGACAGCUAGACUUCAAUACAAAAUGUUGAAGGCUCACAGUAAUCAUGAAGCAGGGGUGCUGAGGAUGCUGCAGCACCCCCUGAAAAAUCAGAAUUAAAAAAUAUAUUUAAAUAAAAAUGUCCAGCACCCCUACCCCCAAACUACUUCCCGUGGCUAUGAUUAUGACAACUUUAAAGAUGAAGGAGAAGCAAGAGAGAGAGAGUGAUAGCAAUACUUUGUUGUAUUUUUUUAAACUUUGACUUAGCUGGCGAAUGCAGCUAGCUAGUUUAGCCUAAUCAAACACUUGGCUCAAACAGAGAGGGAUGCUAUGUUAGCUAGCUGGCUAUAUCUAUCAAACACUGGAACUCUUCCAAGUCAAGGUAAGCUUUUGGUUUUAUAAAUGUAUUGCCACCGGGGCCUGCCAGUGUAACUGCUAAACUGCUUGCUGACUGUACACUGUAGUUCAUGAUUGUAGCGGGUUUACUAACACGUUAGUUCUAGUAGCUAUGUUGACUAUGACCUUUGCUAAUAUGGUGACAAUGAUGUAGACUGUGUGUAACUUUUAGCGGUUAUGAUAUGAAGAUUUGGCUUGGAAAGUUUUUUUUGCCUGGUCACAGAUAGCUGAUGUGUUGUGCACUGAAGUCCACAAGCGAAGGGAAAAGGUGUGAGAAGGGGGGCGCGUAGAUGCGAAAAGGAUUAAUACAACGGGCAAAAUGAUCAUGCUGUUUGUAUGCGACUGCUAUGAAAGUGAACUGUUUUUGCGUGUGAUCAGGGCUGUAUUCAUUCCACCGAUUCUGUUGAAAAAACGUGUCUUAAACGGAAGCAAACGUAACGAAACAGGGAUAAACAUACCUGAAUUUGUCCAAAAGAAACUCUAAUUUGCAACUGUUUGACUAAUGAUUACAUCCUAAAUCAGCUAGAUGCAUACAAGAUUGUGCGAUGCAGUAUUGAAUGUGUCAUUGUCUGUCACCUUGAUUAUUCUUAUUUUUCUCUCGAUCGGUGUUGUAAACUGUCCUGAUGGGUAUAGGGAAAAGUUUUAUAUCAUGUAGUAGCCUAAACCUAUCGCUGUUACAUUGAGCUGGGUGAAUGGAAUAUGAAUGACAAUCAUCCAAUAUGCUGUGAUAGUAAUAAGGCCAUGUUCAUAAAAAAUCGUCCUCCCUCAUCUUAAACAUCACCGACCUCCACUGAACCAUACAGAGGGUAUUUGUUCCUUUAGUUGUGUCAUUUGUGCACUGUCAUGAGCUGGGGCACUGUGUAUAAGCUGUGACAUGAUGCCUCGUCAUACAGUAGAUCACUAGCUCAAAUGAUGUCAGAAAGAUGACUCACUAUAACACUGUAGUAAGGGAUCUUUUGUCUUUGAAUGAACGGUAGUCUGUAAAAUCUAUUCUGUAGAAUAUUAUAUGGAUGGUACCAGUAGUAGAGUCCGACCUACCAGUCUGAGGGACUUGACGGCCACCACGUCUAGGAAGGACACGGCUGAAAAGUCCAAUACCAGGCUGUGGAUCUGGACCUUAGGUACCGACACCCUGACUGGCAGCUCCAUGGCCCAAUCCACAUGGACCUCCACCUCUGGCACAGGCCAAUCCCCGUCCUCCACCUGCCCGGACUCCCGUCCACUGUCCCGCUCGCUCUCAAAACCCUUGUUGUCGACACCCAGGGAGACCUCGGAUACCACCUCCCCGGUCUGGGGGAACGGAGGUUCAAUCAAUCAAUCAAUCAAUCAAUCAAUCAAUCAAUCAAUCAAUCAAUCAAUCAGUAGUUCCACAACCAGUCAUAAAAUCCUAACUGGUUACCAGGUACUGGAGCUCACAUUACAGAGCAAAACUAAAUGAGUGUAAAGGAUUGAAAGGAGACUGAAGAUGGAAAUUCCCUGUUUGAAAAGAUUCUGAGCUGAACAGAUGAACGUUAUCAGUAACCAGACUGUAUCGUACCUCUGUCGCCCUCAGUUUCCCUUUCUUUAUGAGUUUGUGAAUCUUCUUGAGGGCCUUAUUCCUCUUCUUGAACACUCUGACAGAGUCAAACCCCACCUGCAUGUCAAAGGUCAAAUGCACAACAAACUUUCAUCUUGCCUGCUUGUAGAGUGAUAAGGCCUAUCCACAAUCUAUACAAUGCCAAGGGGAAAUAUAAUGAGCUCAAUCACCGUGGCUCUCAAUCGCUCUUUGAAGUAGUCAAUGUUGGCAAAGUAGAUGGGAGCAUUGCACUUAAAAAUCUUAAUUCCGGGAACUUCUGCAAUCUGAAAGAGGAAGGCCUAAUUAUUGCAUUUAUUUCUGGCAUCCAUUUCUGGUAUAUAUUAAUUAGAGUUGAAACAUAUCAGAUGUCUUACAUUCUUGUAGUCUUUCAUGUUCCUGUAUAUGUUUGUGCCGGGUAUGUUUCCAAGUGUAGAGCAUGCAGGACUAUGAAUGAAGAGGAAAAUAUAUUUUUUAGAAAUAAAAUAUAUUUUUCUUAGUGCCAUCCUAGUCAUUUCUAUUUUGUAGACAGACAAUAUAAAUAAUGACAGUUUAAACUAGGACACAUCAAGCAUAUGAAUCCUAUAAUGUCUUUGCAGUUAUUUGUAAUGCUUAUUUGUUUUAUGUUAUACAUCAGUGGGUUUGGGAAAGUUGAUAUUUCUAAUGACACGAGCUGAAGACUUCAAAGCCAUCCUAAUAGCCUUUGAUUACAGAAGAGGCCUGCUCAGUGUUACUCAUAAUCUCGCCGACUGAUGUUUAUAGACUAUCUACACAGCGGUGAAGAGCACAUGGUCAAACACGCGAGCCAGGGAUAUCUUUUGAUCUUCCUCUGAUUCAGGGUUAAUGGAUUUAUAAUACAGGGUAAAUACUGUAGUGUACACAACAAUAUCUACAUCAAAAUAUGACAUCUAAUCUAGGCCUUCACAAAAUGCAUCUAGUAAUGUAUGUGAUUGGUACUAUGUAGUGUUACGUGCUACAGGUGUUAUGUGUCACUCACAACUGUGUCCUGACCACCACAGUUCCCAUCUCAAACACCAGGCCAGCCAGCAGUCCCACGUCCAGUCCCAACACCACAGAAGCCAGGCAGGUCGCUAGCCAGAUGAACUGGGAAAAGAACAAGUUUCAGCUUUAACUUUCGAUGAGAUCCAGCAGAGAAAGUCCUAGUACAAUUGUUACAUUGAAGUGAAAUACAGUGGAUUGGGUGACAUCAAUACACUCUAAGUGUGGGCACCUCUGUCACCUGCAUGAACAUUCCCUUCAGGUUGGCGAUGACGAUGGCUGCCAGCACUGACUGUGGGACCAAUACAGAGCUGGAUCAGUUGUGUUAGUCUACACCAAUCCCAUUUCACACUCCGCAUUAUCAUUGAUCCCUUUCCUCACCUUCUGCAGGGGUUCCAAGAGGUGCCCCAGAGCCAGGAUCACAAUCAUUACCAUCACAGCUGAGAUUAUACCAGCCAUCUGUAGGAGUAGUACACACAUUUGUAACGGCACCCUGUUAUUGUGUGUGUGUGUUUUUCUUGCCUAUAAGUACUGUAUAGUGUACCUGACUCUUGCCA